UACGUAGGCAGCAAGCGUUGUUCGGAAUUACUGGGCGUAAAGAGUGUGUAGGCGGUGCUCUAAGUCUGUUGUGAAAUCUCCCGGCUUAACCGGGAGGGUGCGGCGGAAACUGGAGUGCUUGAGGGUGGGAGAGGUAAGCGGAAUUCCUGGUGUAGCGGUGAAAUGCGUAGAUAUCAGGAGGAACACCGGUGGUGUAGACGGCUUACUGGACCAUAACUGACGCUGAGACACGAAAGCGUGGGUAGCAAACAGG
rnacentral:rRNA from 1 species